rnacentral:rRNA from 1 species
GACGUAGGGCGCAAGCGUUGUCCGGAUUUAUUGGGCGUAAAGAGCUCGUAGGCGGCUUGUCGCGUCGACCGUGAAAACCCGCAGCUCAACUGCGGGCUUGCGGUCGAUACGGGCAGGCUCGAGUUCGGUAGGGGAGACUGGAAUUCCUGGUGUAGCGGUGAAAUGCGCAGAUAUCAGGAAGAACACCAAUGGCGAAGGCAGCUCUCUGGGACGGUACUGACACUGAGACGCGAAAGCGUGGGGAGCGAACAGG